GUACUAUUUGGGAUGAAGUCCCUCUUUAAUUGAGUCCAUUCUGACUGUUUGGCAUGGAGUAAUGGAUACCUUCACACUACACUGGGUUCAUCUUCCAUUGGGCCCAGCUGUGAAAACCCCCUGAAUCCUCAUGGCAUUAACAGCUCAGGCUCACACUGCUGCAUGGCUCUCCAGCCUGCCUGCUGCUGCCUCAGGUUUCACCAUCACAUUACACUACACUACAACCACUACACCCAGUGGAGGCUGCUGAGGGGAGGACAACUCAUAGUAAUAAUGGUGACAGACAGUGACGCAUUCAAUACCGCCUUGCACACUCUUGCCUGAAUAUAGCUGAUCUAGGGUGUAAUCAUUAGUCCAAACAGUUGCAAACGAGAGUUUCUAUUGGACAAAUUCAGGUAGGUUUAUCCCCGUUUCGUUCUGUUUAUUUCCGUUUAAGAAACGGUUUUCAACAGAAUCGGUGGAAUGAAUACACCCCUAAUCACCCGCACACACAGUUCACUUUCAUAGCAGCCACAUACAAACAGAAUCAUCACUUUGCUCAUUGUAUAAUUCCUUCUCGCGUCUACGUGCUAUCCUCCCCUCACCUUUUCCCUUUCAGUGCACAACAGCUGUCUGUGACCAUGCAAAAAUAAACUUUCCAUGCCAAACCUUCAUGCCGUAAUCGCUAACCACUACACACAGCCUACAUCGUUGUCACCAUAUUAGCUAACGUCAUAGUCAACAUAGCUACUAGAACUAACACGUUAGUAAACCCGCUACAAUCACGCAGUACAGUGUACAGCAAGCAGUUUAGCAGUUACACCAGCGGGCCUCAUGGCAAUACAUUAAUUAAACCGCUUACCUUGACUUGGAAGAGUUCCAGUGUUGGCUAGCCUUAGCCAGAUAGCUAACAUAGAUAGCAUGCUUCUGUUUGUGCUGGGUGUUUGAGUAGGCUAAAUUAGCUAACUGAAUUAGCUAGCUAAGUGAAUGAAAGGAAAAAUAAAAAAAUAAAUAGAGCUAGCUCUCGCUCUCUCUGCUGCUUCUCCUUCAUUUUUGCACUCAACAAAAAAAAGGCAGUGAAUGAUUUCUUAAAGAUCACUUUAAUCCAUUGUUCUAGGUUUUGUAUUGAAGUCAAUGUACCCAGAGGAGGACGGAAACUAGCUGUCCUCCGGCUACACCAUGGUGCUACCCCAGAGAGUUCUGUUGAGACUACUGUAGACCUUCAUUGCAAAACAGUGUGUUUUAAUCAGUUAUUUGGUGACAUGUGAAUAUAUUUAGUAUAGUAUCAUCUUAAAAGGAUAACCUUUAUAACGUUUCACUAUUUUUCAUGAAAUGACUGAGUAGGAUGGUCCUCCCCUCCUCUGAGGAGGUGCCUCCACUGCAGUAGAUAGAUAUCUGUGUAUGUGUGUUCUGUGGGAGUGCUGAGUAAAGUAUGGCUACAGAGGAAAAGGGAGAGAAGGAGAGAGAAGAGGAAAAUAGGGAUGGAAGAAAGGCUGGCUAUCAGAACUGUUUCUUAGAAAGUAUUGACAUUGGCCUGAUUCUCAAAGUUAUAUUGUUUUCAAAGCAAGCCACGUCCACCUCUCCCUCUUGCCCUCUCUCUUUCUCUGUACAGUGUUUCUGUACAGUAACAAACUGACUAUUUUUCAAUGGCCACUGUUAAAUCCACUCAGCACAGUAUGAAUUGCUCGACUCUUUUCCAUGUACCUUACAGAUUCUGUCUCAUUGUUGGACCUUUUAUUAGCAAAGGGAAAUGUUAAGGUGAUAGAGCUUGUGAGAUGGGAAUAAAGUGCAACUUUAUACAAUGAUUGUGUUUACUUUUCUUACAAACCAAUGGGGUGAUGAUGAUGCAAAACCAUCUGUUUUAAAGUUCAUGGGUUUAUGGGAGAAAUGUUCCUAGUACACUGCAGUUGGCAACGUGUUUCAUUGUGCUAUUUAUCAUUGGCCAACUUCAAUGCUGUUUCUCAAUUUGAAACAUUCUUUGUUGUUUUUGUCAUGGAAAAAUACUUUAGUCUUUUUGGAGAUGUCUCGUAUUGGGCUUACAUUUGAAAGUUUACGUUGCAAACCUUUUUUAUCAGGAAUAUUUUCUUUUGAAAAGAUAAGGUAUAAUUUUUGUAAACUUGUUUUUUUUAAGAAAGGCACUUUAUUAAAAGCAUAAGUAAGUAAUAUACAUGUAUAUACAAACUCAUAAUGAAAUAUAUACUGUAUGUAAUACACAGUGCAGUGUACCAACAUCUUUGUAAAUCAUUUAGUUUUUAUAGCUAAUUGUAAAGGGUAUGUAUUUUUUUCAGCAUGUGCCAUGUUUUUUAUCUCGGUCUUAGAUCAAUUUUUUUGUAUAGUAUUUAUUGAAAUUAAUCGUAUGAAGAUGACUAUUGAGAGCAUCCCCAAUGUGGUCUCUGUUACAUGAAAAGGGAAUGUGUUCACUCUAUACCAGUGUUUCUCCCAUUGAUAUAGAACAUUGAUACACCCCUAAUACGCGGACUGUUACUGUUUCUAACCAGUCCCUCAGAUGGUUAGCUAACAACGAUUUAAUCAGUUCUCAAUUGCUAGUGUUGGGCCUAGAUUCGCUAGAUCCUUGUUAGCGCACUUUACAUUUAAAGGUAAUUUCUAUUGAGACGACAUCUGCAGCGUUUACCUUGAUGCGAUCUCCACUUACUCGGUAACAUUGCCUUUAAUAACUGCUUUGUCUACAAAACGCAGAUUGAAUCAUAUUGAAUCCCAGCCAUAAUCUGAGAGAUCAUAUAAAAGGUUGAGAAACACUGCUCUCUAACACCACACCACGUAACCCUCAAUCAAUCAACUGCUCAGCAUUCUUCUCUGUGAUUUAUAAAUGUGCUGUGACAAAAUAUAAUAAAUUUAACUUUGCCACAA
rnacentral:lncRNA from 1 species